AAGCACUGGAACAAAAAUACCAGGUGGUCCAUGGUGAAGCCAUGGUGCCCUACUCUACAUGUGGUGUCCCAGUAACGGAGUGCGUGCUCUCAGAUAAACAUUGCUUCAGGUGCCUGACCUAGGCCCUGCUGCUCAGAAGCUAGUCCCAAUUGAAUCCUCAUCCGAGGAUGAGGGUGAGGACCCUAAAUUGUUGACCAGAUUGUCUCCAAGCCCCAAUUUUUUUUGUUUCUAGACACACAGUAUUCCUCACCCCCAAAAAAGCCAAGAACACAAGAAGGCACAAUUUAAAAAG